GGCAGUGGGCCGGCCUUUCCUGGGACGGCCGUUCCUGGUGAUCGUGGUAGGGCAGUGGAAUGAACUGGGAAUUGAACUUGUGCUUGGGAUCCGGGAGGGGGGUGAGGGCUGCACGGGAAGGUGAACAAGGGACCGCAGAGAGGAGGGAGAGAAUGUUUUCAGGGCUUACCAGGUAGAAUUCCAGUGUUCACUGCAAUGAAACUUUGAAACCUUUGUCCUUGGCUCUGUCUUCUUUUCAGUACGAGGCAGGGAAACAUUUUUCUGGCAUGAGACCUGGGCAAAAAUAAUGAGAGGUAUGAGGAAAGGGGGGAAAAAUCCCGUAGGUUCCUAUAGUCUGUCCUCUGCCUGGCAGUGUGGACCAAACGGCUCCCAAAGAAACCCCACCAAAAAUAAGUUUGCAUCCAGUUUCUCGUAGCCUGCAGCAAAGUGGGGUUUUUUUCCCUACUUAUUUAUUCAACAAAUAUUUAUCAAGUGCUUGAUACUGUGGGGAAGAAGGCAGUCUUGUGGCCCUCAUGGGGCCAAUCUGGUGGGGCACAGUGACAUUAAACAAAUGCACAACUGUGAAUUGCCAUGGGUCCUUUGCAGGGAAAGCACAGAGUCUUCUUGGAGAAGGCGGGGGGGGGGUGGUGCUGCUGUUUAGUGGGUGGUCACAGGAGGGCCUCUCUGAGGCUGUGGGCCUUCACUUGUCUCUGCACCCUCUACCUCCCCGUCUUGUUAGCCAGGAGAGGCAGUUUGAGCCGGGAGGCCUGCGUGGUACCAUGCCGAGGGAGAGGGGUCUGGCCAAGGGAAGGGGCGGGCUGUGCACAGCAGUCGAUUCCACUCCCCGCUCCCCGGCUGGGCCACCUGUCCCAAACGGUUGUGUCCCGCCCUCUGUGGGGGGUUUAGUAACGGGCGCCAUUUCUCAGAAGGCGCUGGCCACAGAGAUAAGACCGCAGUGACUAGGGGGCCAUAAAUUGUUACCUGUGCCACUUGGUUACCCCUCUUCCUCCAUCACCUCCUUCCUGAGCCUGUGGGGUUGGAUUUAGCA